AUUGAACGCUGGCGGCAAGCCUAACACAUGCAAGUCGAGCGGAAGCGGAGAUAGCUUGCUAUCAGACGUCGAGCGGCGGACGGGUGAGUAAUGCCUAGGAAAUUGCCUUGAUGUGGGGGAUAACCAUUGGAAACGAUGGCUAAUACCGCAUAAUGCCUACGGGCCAAAGAGGGGGAUCUUCGGACCUCUCGCGCUAAGAUUAGCCCAGGUGAGAUUAGCUUGUUGGUGAGGUAAGAGCUCACCAAGGCGACGAUCUCUAGCUGGUCUGAGAGGAUGAUCAGCCACACUGGAACUGAGACACGGUCCAG
rnacentral:rRNA from 1 species